rnacentral:rRNA from 1 species
UGCCAGACUCCUACGGGAGGCAGCAGUGGGGAAUAUUGCACAAUGGGGGAAACCCUGAUGCAGCGACGCCGCGUGAAGAAUGAAGUAUUUCGGUAUGUAAACUUCUAUCAGCAGGGAAGAAAAUGACGGUACCUGACUAAGAAGCCCCGGCUAACUACGUGCCAGCAGCCGCGGUAAUACGUAGGGGGCAAGCGUUAUCCGGAUUUACUGGGUGUAAAGGGGGCGCAGACGGCGAUGCAAGCCAGGAGUGAAAGCCCGGGGCCCAACCCCGGGACUGCUCUUGGAACUGCGUGGCUGGAGUGCAGGAGGGGCAGGCGGAAUUCCUGGUGUAGCGGUGAAAUGCGUAGAUAUCAGGAGGAACACCGGUGGCGAAGGCGGCCUGCUGGACCGUGACUGACGUUGAGGCUCGAGAGCGUGGGGAGCAAACAGGAUUAGAUACCCGUGUA